UACGUAGGGGGCAAGCGUUGUCCGGAAUUAUUGGGCGUAAAGCGCGCGCAGGCGGUCGAUUAAGUCUGGUGUUUAACCCCGGAGCUCAACUCCGGGUCGCACUGGAAACUGGUCGACUUGAGUGCAGAAGAGGAAAGUGGAAUUCCACGUGUAGCGGUGAAAUGCGUAGAGAUGUGGAGGAACACCAGUGGCGAAGGCGACUUUCUGGGCUGUAACUGACGCUGAGGCGCGAAAGCGUGGGGAGCAAACAGG
rnacentral:rRNA from 1 species